UACGAAGGGGGCUAGCGUUGCUCGGAAUGACUGGGCGUAAAGGGCGCGUAGGCGGACGGCACAGUCGGAUGUGAAAUUCCCGGGCUCAACCUGGGGACUGCAUUCGAGACGUGUUGUCUAGAGUGAGGAAGAGGGUCGUGGAAUUCCCAGUGUAGAGGUGAAAUUCGUAGAUAUUGGGAAGAACACCGGUGGCGAAGGCGGCGACCUGGUCCUUUACUGACGCUGAGGCGCGAAAGCGUGGGGAGCAAACAGG
rnacentral:rRNA from 1 species